AUUGUCCGUCAGAGGUCCAGUUGCAUGAGGAAUCCGGCAAGGGGUCGUCCGACAGUGGAGUUCGGAUGGCGUUGUGGAGGUUUGUCCGCUGGAAGAGUCUUGAGGACACUGUGGAAGGUCGAAUGUUGGAGGAGUCCGGGAUUCAAUUCUGCUGUAGAAGUUCGAACGGAGUCCGGCUUUUGUAGGAGUCUGGAUGAAGUCCGCUUAUUGUAAAAGCUCGGAUGAAGAUCGGCUGUCGUGGAAGCUCGGAUGGAGACUUCUUAUUGUAGAAGUUCCGCUGCUGGAGAAGCUCGGUCAUUGACGAAGUUCGGAGUAGAGAUCCCGCUGGUGGAGCCUGUCUGUUGUAGAAGUUCGUUUGUGAUCCAUCCACUGUAGAAGUUCGGACGGAGUUCGACUCUUAUAGGAGCUCGGAUGAAGUCCACCUGCAA
rnacentral:lncRNA from 1 species